UUAGAGUUUGAUCCUGGCUCAGGAUAAACGCUGGCGGCGUGCCUAACACAUGCAAGUCGAACGUUCUCUGCCCGCUUCGGUGGACAGAGGGAGUGGCGCACGGGUGAGUAAGACAUGGGUGACCUGCCCUGACGUGAGGAAUACCACCGGGAAACCGGUGACAAUACCGCAUAGGCUCUCCCGCUCAAGGGGAGAGCAAAGCUUCUUGCUUGCGAAAGCGAGGGGCGCGACAGGAGGGGCUCAUGGCCGAUUAGCUAGCUGGGGGGGUAAGGGCCUCCCAGGGCCACGAUCGGUAGCUGGUCUGAGAGGACGAGCAGCCACACUGGGAUUGAGAACGGCCCAGACUCCUACGGGGGGCAGCAGUGAGGAAUUUUCCGCAAUGGGGGCAACCCUGACGGAGCAACGCCGCGUGCAGGAAGACGGCCUUCGGGUUGUAAACUGCUUUUCUCAGGGACGAGCUAAGACGGUACCUGGGGAACAAGCCCCGGCUAACUACGUGCCAGCAGCCGCGGUAAUACGUAGGGGGCGAGCGUUGUCCGGAGUGACUGGGCGUAAAGGGCACGUAGGCGGUUUGGCGCGUUGAGGGUGACAGCGCUCGGCUUCACUGAGCGAGGGCCUUCAAAACGGCUGACCUUGAGGCACGGAGAGGCAGACGGAAUUCCGGGUGGAGUGGUGAAAUGCGUAGAGAUCCGGAAGAACACCAAAGGCGAAGGCAGUCUGCUGGCCGUGACCUGACGCUGAGGUGCGAAAGCUAGGGGAGCGAACAGGAUUAGAUACCCUGGUAGUCCUAGCCGUAAACGAUGACCACCAGGUCUGCGGGGUAUCGACCCCCUGCGGGCCGGAGCUAACGCACGAAGUGGUCCGCCUGGGGAGUACGGUCGCAAGAUUAAAACUCAAAGGAAUUGACGGGGACCCGCACAAGCAGCGGAGCGUGUGGUUUAAUUCGAUGCAACGCGAAGAACCUUACCAGGGCUUGACAUGACGUUGAGCACGCGGGAAACCGCGCUCCCUUCGGGGCAACGUCACAGGUGCUGCAUGGCUGUCGUCAGCUCGUGCCGUGAGGUGUUGGGUUAAGUCCCGCAACGAGCGCAACCCCUGUCGUCGGUUGAGAUUUCCGGCGAGACUGCCACGAUCAACGUGGAGGAAGGUGGGGAUGAUGUCAAGUCAGCACGGCCCUGACGUCCUGGGCGACACACACGCUACAAUGGCGCAGACAACGAGUUGCCAACCCGCGAGGGGGAGCUAAUCUCCACAAACUGCGUCUCAGUUCGGAUUGCAGGCUGCAACCCGCCUGCAUGAAGUCGGAGUUGCUAGUAACCGUGGGUCAGCACACCACGGUGAAUACGUUCCCGGGUCUUGUACACACCGCCCGUCACACCACGAAAGUCGGUUCAACCUGAAGCCGCCGGGCUAACUCGCCAGAGAGGCAGGCGUCGAGGGUGGGGCUGGUGAUUGGGGUGAAGUCGUAACAAGGUAGCCGUA
rnacentral:rRNA from 1 species